ACUACAGCAGCCUAUAGCAGCAGAGGAGGAAGAGGAGGCGGAGCAGGAAGAGGAAGUGGAGGAAGAAAGGGAGAAGCAGGAGGACCAAUCACACGCUCAGCCUUCAGAGAGAGGGGUGGGACAUGAACUCCAGCAGCCAAUAGCAGUAGCAGAGGAGGAGAUUCUGAAGAAGGACGCGGGGCUUGAACUACAGGAGCCAAUAGCAGCAGCAGCAGCAGCACGAGGAGGAGGAUCUGUACGACCAAUCAGACGUGGAGGAGCUUGAAAUGGACGCCUCUUUAGACCUGGAGGUUAUGGCGUUGAUGACCUCGUCUCCCCCUCCUUCUCUCCUUCACCUUUCCUCCCCCAUUCUUCCCCCACGGACAUCUCGAAGACUUCCUCCCCCCUUUUCCUCCAGACCCUCCGAUGACCUCUCCAUCCGCUUGAGGUCGUCUCCCUUCUCCACCGAAGCCUCCCCAGAAACCUCCCCACUCAGAGCCCCCGUCACCCCCCCUCCUCUCUCCCCUCCCUCACCCCUUCUCCGGUACUCACCCCCAAUCAGAGAAACGACACCACUCUCAAAGGUAAAUGUAAAAUAUGUCUAAUAUGUUUUUUCCCUACUCCUCCCUGACUGG